GCAUGGUUUUUUCCUCCUUAUUUCAGAGUUCUUAAUGUUUAAGAUUCUAAGCUUUCGAUUCAAAAUUAAUGGAAAACCUUAAAGCUUUGGUGAAAAGUUACAGUAGCACACCUGAAAUUUAGAUACCAUCAAUUUCAUUUCAAAAUUUCUUUGUUAAAGAUGCCAUUGGUAAUGUAAAUCAGGGUGAGCAGACUUUACUAAAACUCUGAGGUCUAACAAUGAGAACCAGAUGUAAAUGACAUACAGAUGAAUUAAAGGAAAGUAUGCCUCUGAACACAUCCAGAGCUUUGGAAUUAGUUUUCUGUACCAGAAUUGAAGGGAGCAGACAGGCCUUUCAUAACCCAAAGUCCACUUCUAGUUAUAUACCUUCAUCUCAGCAGCCUUAGGUGGAAAGGGCUAGGAAGGGUGUUGCUAUCACUAAACAAGUGGGAAUAAAACUUUGUUGUUAGUUUGCUGCAAAUCACCUAGAGAUAAAACUCAAAAAACCAUCCCAUUAUUGAAGUAUAUAGUAGGAGUGUGACUGAUCUUCAGAAAGGUUCCACUUUAUAGUAUAUAGUGAGAUGGCCACCGGAUUCACAUAUUUCUUAUGGAGAAUUGAACUUCUGGAUUCAUAAGUGGGAUAUCUGGAAAAACUGGUGUUCUCCCUCUUCCCAUAACUUGCUUAGCUGUUAUUUAAAAAUAGACUUUUAAGUUUAUUGGUUUUUCCUGUUUAUGAAACCUACUAUUAUUACUAUUAUUAUUAUAAAUAACUACUAUUAUUAGUAAGAGUUCCCUAAUGUCCUGAAUGCUGUCCUUUAUUUUGUACGGGUGGGGGAAAGAACUGUAGCCCAGGGAAAGCAAAUAAACAGGAGACCUCUAAUGCAGAUAUGUUUACAGAGUAACUUAUAUAAAGUCAUUAAUAUUUAACAAACAUUAACCAUGUUAGGUGAGAUCCAAAGGGCUACGCACAAAACCUGCAUGCAGAUCUUAGUACUUCAGAAUUCCUCUUAUGAGAAGCUACUCCUGGAAGUGGGAUGAAGAACCCACAGUCAGGAGCGGUUUCAGAAAUUUUCGUGCACAAGCCUUCGGGAAUCUUUGAAUCCACCAUCAUUAGUAUUAUUAUUAUUCAAAUUUAUAUACUGCCCUAUACCCAGAGGUCUCAGGGCAGUUCACAGAACAAAAUAAGAAUAUAAAACCACAAAAUCUAUUACCAAAAUAAAAACUAACUCACCCCCACACAAAAAACAAACACAUUUUAAAAAGGACAUAGGAUGUCAUUCUUCAUAGUUCUAUAAACCAUUUGUCCACUGAGGAGACAGAAUAAUUUUCUGCCUGCAGUAGCUGCCUGUUUGGCUUCCCUUUCUAACCACAUUACCAAGGUGGAUUGUUUUGAAUCAGCAAUUCAAAAAGCAUGUUGAAAGCAAAUUUCCCAUUUAUCAUGUAUUUCAGCAUCUGGAAGGCUAAAUGUUCUCCACACCUGAUAUAUUUCCUAAGCAAUGAUGCCAAAUGUAUUGCUCUGCUUUCCUUUGAACCACAUCAGUGAAGCAGGACCACACUUGUCUAAGCUUGUUUCCUGAGGAGGUCACUUCAGUGCUGCUAAUGCAACAAUUUGACUUCACCCUUGGAAGGUGCCCUUCAUUGUCUCUUGAGACAGAUGGACGCCAACAAUAACAGCAGCAUAUACUUUCACAUUUCCCAUUAAAGGGAAUACCUUUAAAAUAUUUCUAAUUAGAUAAUACUGCUGUCUUGUGAUCAGCAGCUACAAACAAAACUGAAAUGUCCAUAACUGAUAGGUUGAAGCAAAGUCUGCUUGUUACUGCACAAUAUAGAACAUUUAAUUGUUAUGAGUUGGAAUAAAAUGCCUUCUUUGGCAGCUUGAAUGUCAAUAUAUCUGAGGAAUCAUCUUGCUGUACUUAGAAAAGUCUCCUUUGAUUCAAAGGUAUCUAGCAUUGAUUUGGUUUAGAGAUGAACUGUGGGGCUAACAUGCUUACAGAUUUUUAAAAUAAGUAAUGCUUAGAAUUUACUACUUACUAUUUUUUAAAGUUAUCUGCUAUGGUCUGAAAUAGCUUUCAAUAGGACAAUAUUAAAUUUCCUCCAUGUGAACUUUUUGGAAGCAGUGAUCCUGAGGUGGGUUUGAGGGAUCCUGCACCUUGCAGCCAAUUUCCUUAACUGUGGCCUUAUGUGAGAGAUAGGACUCCAAACAUCUACCACAGGGUUUCCCUUAGUUAUGAUGUCAAGUCAGUUUGGAAAGAGUGAAUAACUGCCUGGAAUGAACUGCUCUGAACAGAAGAAAGAUAUCUUGAUAAUUAGAAUGUUAUAUUUUUAUCUAAUCUUGCUACUAAAGAGAGAAUAUCAAAAAGUUUGGCCUCAAAUCAUCUUUUUUUUUUUUAA